CACACUAACAGACACACUCACACUCACUAACAGACACACACUCACUAACACACACACUCACAGGCAAACACACACUCACUGACACACUAACAGACAAACAUAGUCGGACACACACACUAACAGACACACUCACUAGCAGACACACACACACACACUAACAAACACACACAUUAACAGACACACUCACUGACACACACACUCACAGGCAAACACACACUCACUGACACACACACACACACAGGCAAACACACACUCACUGACACACAGUCAGACACACACACAUACACACUAACAGACACAGUCAGACACACACUAACAAAACACACACACAUUAACAGACACUCACUCACAUUAACACAUUUUUUUAUUUAUUUUUAUUUAGCCCCCCCCCC